CCUACGGGGGGCAGCAGUGGGGAAUAUUGGACAAUGGGGGCAACCCUGAUCCAGCCAUGUCGCGUGUGUGAAGAAGGCCCUCGGGUUGUAAAGCACUUUCAGUGAGGAAGAACGCCUGGUGGUUAAUACCCAUCAGGAAAGACAUCACUCACAGAAGAAGCACCGGCUAACUCCGUGCCAGCAGCCGCGGUAAUACGGAGGGUGCGAGCGUUAAUCGGAAUUACUGGGCGUAAAGCGCGCGUAGGUGGCUUGAUAAGCCGGUUGUGAAAGCCCCGGGCUCAACCUGGGAACGGCAUCCGGAACUGUCAAGCUAGAGUGCAGGAGAGGAAGGUAGAAUUCCCGGUGUAGCGGUGAAAUGCGUAGAGAUCGGGAGGAAUACCAGUGGCGAAGGCGGCCUUCUGGACUGACACUGACACUGAGGUGCGAAAGCGUGGGUAGCAAACAGGAUUAGAUACCCUUGUAGUC
rnacentral:rRNA from 1 species